GGGGAUUUAGGCAUUUAGGGAUUCUUUUCUUCUUUGUUCCUCUGAGAAGUGAGAACGAAUUGAGAACUUCUUGAGGCAAGCAGGGAUUCAUUGCUUUUAGAGUCUGAGGCAAGCAAUUGGAAAUUCGAAGUUGCCGCAGCCGCAGCCAGAAUUCUUCCAGGAAGCCGCUGCCACCGAAGCUGCCAUUGAAGGCUUGAAGCUUUGUUGCCGCCUUGCCAAUAAGCCAGUGAAGCGUUGCAGUUAGGCACACACCAUGGCAUCUUGGAAGUUCAAAGUUCGAAGUUGCCGCAGCCGCUGCCAGAAUUCUUCCAGGAAGCUGCAGCUGCCACCGAAGCUGCCAUUGAAGGCUUGAAGCUUUGUAAGCCAGUGAAGCCUUGAAGGUUCUAGAGCUCAAGCUCAUGACAGCUAAGGGAGGUAGAAAUGUAGAGCCAUCCUUUGUGCUUGCUUGACUUCUAAAGUUAUGGUUCAAUCAAUUUAGAUUUUCACAGUUAAAUUUUGUUAUGAAUCUUAGAAAACAUCCAAUGGAGAGAUGCUCAGUUUGAAGAUUUUCAGACUGGGAUGUAUUUGAGUGGAAACUUAUAAUAG